AGGGGCGUAACUCAGUUGGUAGAGCGGCGGUCUCCAAACCGUAGGUCGCAGGUUCGAGUCCUGUGGCCCCUG
rnacentral:tRNA from 1 species